rnacentral:rRNA from 1 species
ACAGCAGCAGCCGCGGGAAAACGGAGGGAGCUAGCGUUGUUCGGAAUUACUGGGCGUAAAGCGCGCGUAGGCGGUUACUCAAGUCAGAGGUGAAAGCCCGGGGCUCAACCCCGGAACUGCCUUUGAAACUAGGUGACUAGAAUCUUGGAGAGGUCAGUGGAAUUCCGAGUGUAGAGGUGAAAUUCGUAGAUAUUCGGAAGAACACCAGUGGCGAAGGCGACUGACUGGACAAGUAUUGACGCUGAGGUGCGAAAGCGUGGGGAGCAAACAGGAUUAGAGACCCGAGUGUCCCUGUCUCUUAUACA